rnacentral:rRNA from 1 species
GCCUUCCUCCUUGAGWAGCCGGCGGACGGGUGAGUAAUGCCUAGGAAUCUGCCUGGUAGUGGGGGAUAACGUUCGGAAACGGACGCUAAUACCGCAUACGUCCUACGGGAGAAAGCAGGGGACCUUCGGGCCUUGCGCUAUCAGAUGAGCCUAGGUCGGAUUAGCUAGUUGGUGGGGUAAUGGCUCACCAAGGCGACGAUCCGUAACUGGUCUGAGAGGAUGAUCAGUCACACUGGAACUGAGACACGGUCCAGACUCCUACGGGAGGCAGCAGUGGGGAAUAUUGGACAAUGGGCGAAAGCCUGAUCCAGCCAUGCCGCGUGUGUGAAGAAGGUCUUCGGAUUGUAAAGCACUUUAAGUUGGGAGGAAGGGCCAUUACCUAAUACGUGAUGGUUUUGACGUUACCGACAGAAUAAGCACCGGCUAACUCUGUG